rnacentral:rRNA from 1 species
GACGAACGCUGGCGGCGUGCUUAACACAUGCAAGUCGAGCGAUGAAGCUCCUUCGGGAGUGGAUUAGCGGCGGACGGGUGAGUAACACGUGGGUAACCUGCCUCAUAGAGGGGAAUAGCCUUUCGAAAGGAAGAUUAAUACCGCAUAAGAUUGUAGUACCGCAUGGUACAGCAAUUAAAGGAGUAAUCCGCUAUGAGAUGGACCCGCGUCGCAUUAGCUAGUUGGUGAGGUAACGGCUCACCAAGGCGACGAUGCGUAGCCGACCUGACGAGGGUGAUCGGCCACACUUGGGACUGAGACACGGCCCAGACUCCUACGGGAGGCAGCAGUGGGGAAUAUUGCACAAUGGGGGAAACCCUGAUGCAGCAACGCCGCGUGAGUGAUGACGGUCUUCGGAUUGUAAAGCUCUGUCUUUAGGGACGAUAAUGACGGUACCUAAGGAGGAAGCCACGGCUAACUACGUGCCAGCAGCCGCGGUAAUUACGC